CCAAUAGCGUAUAUUAAAGUUGUUGCAGUUAAAAAGCUCGUAGUUGAAUUUCGGGAUUGACGUGACGGUCGUGCCUUACGGGGUAUGAACUGUCGCCGUUGAUUUCUCACCUUCUGGAGAAGCUCGAUGUCCUUAAUUGGGUGUCUUGCGGAACCAGGACCUUUACCUUGAAAAAAUUAGAGUGUUUAAAGCAGGCAUUUUGCUCGAAUACAUUAGCAUGGAAUAAUAGAAUAGGACGGCAUGGUUCUAUUUUGUUGGUUUCUAGGAUCACCGUAAAGAUUAAUAGGGAUAGUUGGGGGCAUUAGUAUUUAAUUGUCAGAGGUGAAAUUCUUGGAUUUAUUGAAGACUAACUACUGCGAAAGCAUUUGCCAAGGAUGUUUUCAUUAAUCAAGAACGAAAGUUAGGGGAUCGAAGACGAUCAGAUACCGUCGUAGUCCUAACCAUAAACUAUGCCGACUAGGAAUCAGACGAUGUUAAUUUUUUAAUGACUCGUUUGGCACCUUACG
rnacentral:rRNA from 1 species